rnacentral:rRNA from 1 species
UACAGAGGGUGCAAGCGUUAAUCGGAAUUACUGGGCGUAAAGCGUGCGUAGACGGUUAUGUAAGUCAGGUGUGAAAGCCCCGGGCUCAACCUGGGAAUUGCAUUUGAGACUGCAUAGCUAGGGUGCGGAAGAGGGAAGCGGAAUUUCCGGUGUAGCGGUGGAAAUGCGUAGAUAUACGGAAGGAACAUCAGUGGCGAAAGCGGCUUCCUGGUCCAGCACCGACGUCAGGCACGAAAGCGUGGGGAGCAAACAGG